rnacentral:lncRNA from 1 species
CACUCACCGGUCUCCACAUCCUGCACGUAGAAGUGCAGGUCAUCAGUGAUCUCAGUCACAAACACGGGCUUGUAGCUAGCAGAUCGCUCCUCAGACAGCAGGGACUUGUAGUAGGAGCUGCGUUCGGCGGUGAAGUGGACCUUGGAGAGCGCGUGCUCCACCAGCAGGACGGACAGGUUGGCACCGUCGAUGUGCAGCCAGCCGAUAAAGUUGCCGGCCUUGUCCAUGC